rnacentral:rRNA from 1 species
AGAAUCAACGCUGGCGGCGUGCCUAACACAUGCAAGUCGAACGAGAAAGUGGAGCAAUCCAUGAGUAAAGUGGCGACCGGGUGAGUAACACGUGACCAAUCUACCCUUGAGUGGGGGAUAACCUCGUGAAACCGGGGCUAAUACCGCAUAAUAUCCUUGGAACGGAAGUACUGGGGAUCAAAGGAGCAAUUCGCUUAAGGAGGAGGUCGCGGCUGAUUAGCUAGUUGGCGGGGUAAUGGCCCACCAAGGCUUAGAUCGGUAGCCGGCCUGAGAGGGCGCACGGCCACACUGGAACUGAAACACGGUCCAGACUCCUACGGGAGGCAGCAGUGGGGAAUUUUGCGCAAUGGGGGAACCCUGACGCAGCAACGCCGCGUGGAGGAUGAAGUCCCUUGGGACGUAAACUCCUUUCGAUCGGGACGAUUAUGACGGUACCGGAAGAAGAAGCACCGGCUAACUCUGCGCCAGCAGCCGC